UACGAACGCUGGCGGCGCGCCUAACACAUGCAAGUCGAACGAGCGAGAGAGAGCUUGCUUUCUUGAGCGAGUGGCGAACGGGUGGGUAACGCGUGAGGAACCUGCCUCAAAGAGGGGGACAACAGUUGGAAACGACUGCUAAUACCGCAUAAGCCCACGACCCGGCAUCGGGUUGAGGGAAAAGGAGUGAUCCGCUUUGAGAUGGCCUCGCGUCCGAUUAGCUAGUUGGCAGGGUAACGGCCUACCAAGGCGACGAUCGGUAGCCGGCUUGAGAGAGUGAACGGCCACAUUGGGACUGAGACACGGCCCAA
rnacentral:rRNA from 1 species